rnacentral:rRNA from 1 species
UACAGAGGGGGCAAGCGUUGUUCGGAAUUACUGGGCGUAAAGGGCGCGUGGGCGGCCCUCUAAGUCAGACGUGAAAUCCCUCGGCUCAACCGGGGAACUGCGUCUGAGACUGGAAGGCUUGAAUUCGGGAGAGGGAUGUGGAAUUCCAGGUGUAGCGGUGAAAUGCGUAGAUAUCUGGAGGAACGCCGGUGGCGAAGGCGGCAUCCUGGACCGAGAUUGACGCUGAUGCGCGAAAGCCAGGGGAGCAAACGGG